UUUUUUUUUUUUUUUUUAAAUUAAAAUGCCCAUCUUUUGCUAGGAUUAAUAUGUUGGACGAACAAAACCCCCCUUCUCCUUCGACGUUGCUGAACCACGAACAGAAAACAAAAAAAAAUCGCUGAAGGCCUGAAGCUUCCCGUCGUCCGAGCCGUCGCUACCCCUAGCAGCCCGUCGCCGUUGUCGACCCUCGUUUUCUUCCCCGGCGCAUUGCUCUCCUCUCUCUUGGCCUCUUUGCUCGAUUCAUUCUUCCCCACAGAUGAUGGUAGAGAGGAUGAUAAAAGCUUUCAAGAAUGCAUUUGAUGAAAACAUGGUUGUAUAAAGCUUGCAUUAGCCCGUUAACCUGAGACGGAAGAUAAAAACGAGAAACCUCAGGCUUAUGGAAAUCCAUCUGAGGAAUGUAAAUAUGAUUUGGAAACUUUAUAAGUGAUGAAGAAAAACCAAGUGUGCAUGCCUCUAGUUUGGACUUUGAGGAAGAAAUAACAUAAAUCCAAGAUUUUUGCCAUUGAAAUCCAUGAUGGAGGAGACAACCUAUGAUUUCAAGUCCUAAAUUUUGACAGUUGAAUAUAAUACCAAGAAGAAAGGAUUGAAUUCCAAACUGCCCCAUCUUUGUAAGCAUGUUGAUAGGUUGCGCGCACAAGUUUCUACAAUGGAACAACAGCAACAACAAAUGCAAGCACAAAUGGAAAUGGUUAUGUGGAUGAUAAAUAUGUCUGGAAAUCAAUCUCAUGCUCCCCCCAAUAAUCCUGAGGACAAUUGAAUUUGUAAACAUCUGGUAGUGUUUGUUUUGUUCAUUAGUGCUUACUUUUGUCAAACUUAGUAUUAGUCAUAAGACAAUCAAAUGGAAUGUGUCAAAACUUAGUAUUAGGGACGAAUGUGAAUUGAAUGUGGUAUUUGACAAAAAAUUGAAUGAAUUAUUACUUAUUUUUUUUA